GUCGACAGCGAAGCGCUGGCCUGUGUCGUCCAUGCCGAUGUGCUGACGCAGUUCGGCUACACGAUCUCCGCCGAGCAGGUGCAUGAUCGUUUCCUCGGGCGUUCGGCGCGUGAGGCACGGCUUGAAGUCGAAAGCGAACUUGGCCGCGUUUUCCCUGACUCCUAUACCGCGCAAUUGCGGGCCACGAUCGACCAGGUGUUCGGCGAACAGUUGCAACCCGUUCCACACAUUUUUGAGACGCUGGACCGAUUGUCCCAGCGCAUCUGCGUGGCGUCCUCCGGCACACCGACGCGAAUUCGAAGCAGCCUCGGCA
rnacentral:misc_RNA from 1 species